UGGGGAUGACGUCAAGUCAUCAUGGCCCUUACGACCAGGGCUACACACGUGCUACAAUGGCGCAUACAAAGAGAAGCGACCUCGCGAGAGCAAGCGGACCUCAUAAAGUGCGUCGUAGUCCGGAUUGGAGUCUGCAACUCGACUCCAUGAAGUCGGAAUCGCUAGUAAUCGUGGAUCAGAAUGCCACGGUGAAUACGUUCCCGGGCCUUGUACACACCGCCCGUCACACCAUGGGAGUGGGUUGCAAAAGAAGUAGGUAGCUUAACCUUCGGGAGGGCGCUUACCACUUUGUGAUUCAUGACUGGGGUGAAGUCGUAACAAGGUAACCGUAGGGGAACCUGCGGUUGGAUCAC
rnacentral:rRNA from 1 species